GGUGACCUGCGGAAGGAUCAUUACUGAAAUGUAAUAACUUCUAUUGAAAGGUUCCAGAGUAGGCGCUACAACGCCGAAAUGACCUUCUCACCCUUGUGUACUCACUAUGUUGCUUUGGCGGGUCGACCUGGUUCCGACCCAGGCGGCCGGCGCCCCCAGCCUUAACUGGCCAGGACGCCCGGCUAAGUGCCCGCCAGUAUACAAAACUCAAGAAUUCAUUUUGUGAAGUCCUGAUAUAUCAUUUAAUUGAUUAAAACUUUCAACAACGGAUCUCUUGGUUCUGGCAUCGAUGAAGAACGCAGCGAAAUGCGAUAAGUAAUGUGAAUUGCAGAAUUCAGUGAAUCAUCGAAUCUUUGAACGCACAUUGCGCCCUCUGGUAUUCCGGAGGGCAUGCCUGUUCGAGCGUCAUUUCAACCCUCAAGCUCUGCUUGGUAUUGGGCAACGUCCGCUGCCGGACGUGCCUUGAAGACCUCGGCGACGGCGUCCUAGCCUCGAGCGUAGUAGUAAAAUAUCUCGCUUUGGAGUGCUGGGCGACGGCCGCCGGACAAUCGACCUUCGGUCUAUUUUUCCAAGGUUGACCUCGGAUCAGGUAGGGAUACCCGCUGAACUUAAGCAUAUCAAUAAGCGGAGGAAAAGAAACCAACAGGGAUUGCC
rnacentral:rRNA from 1 species